rnacentral:rRNA from 1 species
UACGAAGGGGGCUAGCGUUGUUCGGAUUUACUGGGCGUAAAGCGCACGUAGGCGGAUUGUUAAGUCGGGGGUGAAAUCCUGGAGCUCAACUCCAGAAUUGCCUUCGAUACUGGCUUUCUAGAGGCUGGAAGAGGUUAGUGGAAUUCCCAGUGUAGAGGUGAAAUUCGUAGAUAUUUGGGAAGAACACCAGUGGCGAAGGCGGCUAACUGGUCCAGAUCUGACGCUGAGGUGCGAAAGCGUGGGGAGCGAACAGG